rnacentral:rRNA from 1 species
UGGGGAAUAUUGGACAAUGGGCGAAAGCCUGAUCCAGCCAUGCCGCGUGUGUGAAGAAGGUCUUCGGAUUGUAAAGCACUUUAAGUUGGGAGGAAGGGCAGUAAAUUAAUACUUUGCUGUUUUGACGUUACCGACAGAAUAAGCACCGGCUAACUCUGUGCCAGCAGCCGCGGUAAUACAGAGGGUGCAAGCGUUAAUCGGAAUUACUGGGCGUAAAGCGCGCGUAGGUGGUUUGUUAAGUUGGAUGUGAAAUCCCCGGGCUCAACCUGGGAACUGCAUCCAAAACUGGCAAGCUAGAGUAUGGUAGAGGGUGGUGGAAUUUCCUGUGUAGCGGUGAAAUGCGUAGAUAUAGGAAGGAACACCAGUGGCGAAGGCGACCACCUGGACUGAUACUGACACUGAGGUGCGAAAGCGUGGGGAGCAAACAGGAUUAGAUACCCAAGUAGUCCCUGAGCGGGCUGGCAAGGCGCAU